CACGCCCUAAACGAUGUCAACUAGGUGUUGGGUGAGCAAUCACUUGGUACCGCAGCUAACGCGUGAAGUUGACCGCCUGGGGAGUACGGUCGCAAGAUUAAAACUCAAAGGAAUUGACGGGGACCCGCACAAGCGGUGGAUGAUGUGGAUUAAUUCGAUGCAACGCGAACAACCUUACCUACCCUUGACAUGUCCGGAAGCCUGCUGAAAGGCGGGGGUGCCCGCAAGGGAACCGGAACACAGGUGCUGCAUGGCUGUCGUCAGCUCGUGUCGUGAGAUGUUGGGUUAAGUCCCGCAACGAGCGCAACCCUUGUCCUUAGUUGCUACGCAAGGGCACUCUAAGGAGACUGCCGGUGACAAACCGGAGGAAGGUGGGGAUGACGUCAAGUCCUCAUGGCCCUUAUGGGUAGGGCUUCACACGUCAUACAAUGGUCGGUACAGAGGGUUGCCAACCCGCGAGGGGGAGCCAAUCCCAGAAAGCCGAUCGUAGUCCGGAUUGCAGUCUGCAACUCGACUGCAUGAAGUCGGAAUCGCUAGUAAUCGCGGAUCAGCAUGUCGCGGUGAAUACGUUCCCGGGUCUUGUACACACCGCCCGUCACACCAUGGGAGUGGAAUCCGCCAGAAGUAGGUAGUCUAACCGCAAGGAGGACGCUUACCACGGUAGGUUUCAUGACUGGGGUG
rnacentral:rRNA from 1 species